CUCCCACAUUCCCCUUGGAAUCCAAGAACUGGUCUACUGUCACAACACUUUAGUACCCUCUUCUCCCAAGGAGGCAGCAGAAACUGGGGUAAUCACAACGGUCAACAGCAGCAAAGGCAGCACUUUCUGAUUUACUUGACUGCUAUGGAUGCCACCUCUCUCCACGCCUCAGUUUAAUAUCUGACCUGAAAGCCUCUGAAGUUCACUCCUUCGGCCCCACUCCCUUCCUGCUGCCUUUGGGCUCUCCUCAUGUGACUCUGCCUGUUGAAACUGUCUGCUAGCUGGCCCAGCAUCUCCAGGCAUGGCCUCACUCAUCCACCUCUCCCUUGCUGAAGGUCUCCUCAUGUAACACACGAUUCCUUUAGAUGGUCCUUCAUCACCAGCAAGAUGAAACCUAAAUUCAUUGGCAUGGUAGACAAAACUCUAGCCUUGCCUCCCAGAGGCCAGUCUCUGUCUCCGCCACUCCCCAGGUGGACUGCAUUGUGUUUCUGCUGCCAUAAACAUAAUUUAUUCUGACUGGAACAUCUUCUGUGCAUGUCUGCAGAGUGCACUUCACUCCCCCUGCAGUUCAAGCAUCCUUCCUCCACAAAGCCUUUUCUUUUGAUCACUGCAGGACCUGUAAAAGCUAUCCUGGGAUAGCCUGUAUUUACUGGACUGAAAUGAUCUGUUUGCCUAUCAAUUUCCCCAAAUGAUAUAUGGCAAGGAGUAGUUGAAUCUAAGAGCAGAUCUCAAAGCCUAUGUCCUUUCCAUUGCCUUGUACCCUGCUCCCCUCAAGAAUACCUAUUUUUUGGGGUUGGUGGGAGGAUCAUGUGAGAUAAUGCAUGGGCAGUGCCUGGCACACAGUAAGUGCUCAAUAAAUACUGUUAUAAAUGGGCGACCAG
ensembl:lncRNA LAMTOR5-AS1 LAMTOR5 and SLC16A4 antisense RNA 1